AGAGUUUGAUCAUGGCUCAGGAUAAACGCUGGCGGCGUGCCUAACACAUGCAAGUCGAACGCCCUGCGCAAGCAGGGAGUGGCGGACGGGUGAGGAACACGUGGGAAUCUACCUUUCGGUGAGGAAUACCGGCGAGAAAUCGCCGACAAUACCGCAUACGCUCCGCGAGGAGCAAAGUCGCAAGACGCCGGAAGAUGAGCCUGCGUCCGAUUAGCUCGCUGGUGGGGUAAGAGCCUACCAGGGCAACGAUCGGUAGCUGGUCUGAGAGGACGAUCAGCCACACUGGGAUUGAGAACGGCCCAGACUCCUACGGGGGGCAGCAGUGAGGGAUUUUCGUCAAUGGGGGCAACCCUGAACGAGCAACGCCGCGUGCAGGAGGAAGGUCUUCGGAUCGUAAACUGCUUUUCUGUGGGAAGAGGAAGGACGGUACCACAGGAAGAAGCCCCGGCUAACUACGUGCCAGCAGCCGCGGUAAUACGUAGGGGGCAAGCGUUGUCCGGAGUUACUGGGCGUAAAGGGCGCGCAGGCGGUUUGGCAAGUUUGGAGUGACAGUGCUCGGCUUCACUGAGCAAGGCCUUCAAAAACUGGCAGACUUGAGGACCAGAGAGGGGCAUAGAAUUCCGGGUGGAGUGGUGAAAUGCGUAGAUAUCCGGAGGAAUACCAAAGGCGAAGGCAGUGUCCUGGCUGGUAACUGACGCUCAGGCGCGAAAGCUAGGGGAGCGAACAGGAUUAGAUACCCCAGUAGUCC
rnacentral:rRNA from 1 species